AUCCCUUUGAUCCCCUGGGUCAGCCAUCGUUGCUGAUCCGUGUUGGUCGAGACAUGGACCUUCAUCACUGAUCGUCUUCAAUUCAGACACGGGUUGUUCGUGAGAGGGGAAGCCAUUUCUAUUGAUCGACAGCCUGCUCAUCGUCACUU
rnacentral:misc_RNA from 1 species